UGGGAACCUUCCCUAUGGUUCGGAAUAGCCCAGGGAAACUUGGGGUAAUACCGGAUAAGCCCUUCGGGGGAAAGAUUUAUCGCCAUUGGAUGGGCCCGCGUCGGAUUAGCUAGUUGGUGGGUAACGCCCACAAGGCGACGAUCCGUAGCUGGUCUGAGAGGAUGAUCAGCCACACUGGGACUGAGACACGGCCCAGACUCCUACGGGAGGCAG
rnacentral:rRNA from 1 species